ACCUUGUCUUCCACGCGGUUCAGGCGGGCACCGAUGGUGUUGCUGCCCCGGUCCUUGCUCUUUUCUGGGGAGAUGACGAGGGAGGGCCUCC